rnacentral:rRNA from 1 species
AUUGAACGCUGGCGGCAUGCCUUACACAUGCAAGUCGAACGGCAGCACGGGAGCAAUCCUGGUGGCGAGUGGCGAACGGGUGAGUAAAGUAUCGGAACGUGCCCAGUCGUGGGGGAUAACGUAGCGAAAGUUACGCUAAUACCGCAUACGAUCUAUGGAUGAAAGCGGGGGACCGCAAGACCUCGCGCGAUUGGAGCGGCCGAUAUCAGAUUAGGUAGUUGGUGGGGUAAAGGCUCACCAAGCCGACGAUCUGUAGCUGGUCUGAGAGGACGACCAGCCACACUGGGACUGAGACACGGCCCAGACUCCUACGGGAGGCAGCAGUGGGGAAUUUUGGACAAUGGGCGAAAGACUGAUCCAGCCAUGCCGCGUGCAGGAUGAAGGCCUUCGGGUUGUAAACUGCUUUUGUACGGAACGAAAAGGUUUGGCCUAAUAAGCUGAGCUCAUGACGGUACUGUAAGAAUAAGCACCGGCUAACUACGUGCCAGCCGCCGCCGUAA